GAGCGGCGGACGGGUUAGUAACGCGUGGGAACGUACCCAGAUCUAAGGAAUAGCCACUGGAAACGGUGAGUAAUACCUUAUACGCCCUUCGGGGGAAAGAUUUAUCGGAUUUGGAUCGGCCCGCGUUAGAUUAGAUAGUUGGUGGGGUAACGGCCUACCAAGUCUACGAUCUAUAGCUGGUUUUAGAGGAUGAUCAGCAACACUGGGACUGAGACACGGCCCAGACUCCUACGGGAGGCAGCAGUGGGGAAUCUUGGACAAUGGGCGCAAGCCUGAUCCAGCCAUGCCGCGUGAGUGAUGAAGGCCUUAGGGUCGUAAAGCUCUUUCGCCAGGGAUGAUAAUGACAGUACCUGGUAAAGAAACCCCGGCUAACUCCGUGCCAGCAGCCGCGGUAAUACGGAGGGGGUUAGCGUUGUUCGGAAUUACUGGGCGUAAAGCGCGCGUAGGCGGGUUGUUAAGUUAGAGGUGAAAUCCCGGGGCUCAACCCCGGAACUGCCUUUAAUACUGGCAACCUAGAGUUCGAGAGAGGUGAGUGGAAUUCCGAGUGUAGAGGUGAAAUUCGUAGAUAUUCGGAGGAACACCAGUGGCGAAGGCGGCUCACUGGCUCGAUACUGACGCU
rnacentral:rRNA from 1 species